GAUGAACGCUGGCGGCGUGCCUAAUACAUGCAAGUCGAGCGAACAGACGCGGAGCUUGCUUCUCUGGCGUCAGCGGCGGACGGGUGAGUAACACGUGGAUAACCUACCUAUAAGUCUGGGAUAACUUCGGGAAACCGGAGCUAAUACCGGAUAAUAUAUUGAACCGCAUGGUUCAAUAGUGAAAGACGGUUUUGCUGUCACUUUUAGAUUGAUUCGCGUUGCAUUAGCUAGUUGGUAAGGUAACGGCUUACCAAGGCAACGAUGCGUAGCCGACCUGAGAGGAUGAUCGGCCACACUGGAACUGAGACACGGUCCAGACUCCUACGGGAGGCAGCAGUAGGGAAUCUUGCGCAAUGGGCGAAAGCCUGACGGAGCAACGCCGCGUGGGGGAUGAAGGUCUUCGGAUCGUAAAACUCUGUUGUUAGGGAAGAACAAAUGUGUGAGUAACUAUGCGCGUCUUGACGGUACCUAAUCAGUAAGCCACGGCUAACUACGUG
rnacentral:rRNA from 1 species